AUAGUUUGAUCCUGGGUCAGAUUGCACGCUGGGAGAAGGCCUAACACAUGCAAGGCGAGCGGUGGAUAGAAGCUUGCUUCUCUUGAGAGCGGCGGACGGGUGAGGAUACCUAUGAAUCUGGCUGAUAAUUGGGGAUAACUUUCGGAAACGGACGCUAAUACCGCAUACGUCCUACGGGAGAAAGCUGGGACCUUCGGGCCUUGCGCUAUCACAUGAGCCUGGUCGGAUUACCUAGUUGGUGAGGUAAUGGCUCACCCUGGCUACCAUCCUGAACUGGUGUGAGAGGAUGAUCACGCACACUGGAACUGAGACACUUGCCAGAUUCCUAGCUUAGGCACUCAUUGGCUCUAUGGGACAAUGGGCUAAAGCGUGAUCCAGCCAUGCCGCGUGUGUGAAGAAGGUCUUCCGAUUGUACAGCACUUUAAGUUGUGAGGAAGGGCAUUAACCUAAAACAUU
rnacentral:rRNA from 1 species